CUUUGGGUCUUUAACACUCAGCUCUAUAAGCACUUAAAAGACAACAUCUGAGCUUGUGCCAGAGUCACUUUCAGCUGUAGGGACAGAAACAAGUUUUCUGUGACUUCACUGAGGUUGUCUAAUAUGAAAAAUGUGAAAAACAGCUGCCUUCUUUAAGAGUUCUGGCUUGCUGGGCUCAGACAUUCAGGGUGCCUGAGCCAUAGAGUCCCCUUCAGAUAGAGAAGCAUACCCAACUCCUGACUUUUGGCCACCCACUUCUGAAAGUGGCUUCAUAUUUGGAUAGAGCCUAGGAAAAUUCAUUCUGGAAGGGAUCCCACUAAAUCUGUAGUUUGGUUUCUUGCUUUGAGGUCAAAGUUAGGCAGGGUUUUUAUCCACUGUGGCUUCCAGAUGGAGAUGACACUUUGCUCAGAGCAGGUGAAGACUGAGCCACUGGCUCCUGGUUACCAGGAAUCUGAGUAGCCAGCAUAGAAAUAAGCUCAAGUACAGAAUGCUGCUCAUUUCAUAAAAAUAAAAGUAAAAAUUGAUCUUCCUGAGGUGGUCUCUCUAAAACACAGGGUUUUGAGUUGUCGCAGUUCCUACAAAACACGUGGGAUGCUACCUGGUCCAGGAAAAGUCUGAGGUUUAAACUACUUAUUUAGAAGAUGAGGAUUGAGUGCUUUGACAUAGCAUAUAAUUCAGUAUUUAUUUAUUUAUUUUACAACAUGACACAACUUUAACAGCAAACCAAAAGAGACUGAAGUUUCAAAGCACAAUAUAGCUGCACGAGGGCACUGUUUUAUCUCAUACUGUGCAGAAACACACUGAACUACUAUCUUCUGUUCCUUCUGUAUCAACACCACAGAUUCUGCUUGCUGUUUUUUUUUGCAAAGGGAAGUUGGACCUGCUAAGUAGUAGGAGAAGAAUCUAGCUGGAGGUCCCAUCCUGCUGCUUUGUGGUUCUUCCCAGUUGCCCUCUUACCCCUCAAUAACUUCUUACCUACUCUUUUUCUUCCACAGGCAUAGUUGUCAGCACUAAUCCCAUUUUCCUGCAUACAGUAAGACACACCCUAGCUUUCCUAUCUCAUGCACCCACAUCAAAGGCUAAAAGGUUCAUAUUUUAGGCUCCCAUCUGUCUGGAGUGACACCUGAUGGGAGUGAUAUCCUGAUGAGCAUCAGGUGCAGCCCUGCAGGAAAUAAGUGCUGAGUGGGAGCCCAGCCGUGGUUCCUUCAGCCCAGAUACCUACCGACUCCUCCCAGAAUGGUCAGACCAAAGCUGAGAGGUUGCCCUUUCCCACUGACAAAGCAAGACAUUGCACUGGAAGCCCCUAGGAGAACAAGUUUCUGCAUGACAUUCUACAAGAACCUAUAGGUGCUGCGUAACUGGAAACAAGCUGAAAACUGUUCUGUAAGCUGUGGGAGCAAUGACAUCUGAUUUAAUCCAGAUACCAUCAAAGAAGUGUGACGCUGAAUAUAAUUAAAAAGAGACCUUUACAGCAUUAAGACAUUAACAUUGUAAGAUGGGUAGAUCUGUGAAUUAAGGAAGCAUUGACUUUUUCUCUUUGUUAGCUGAGUGACUGAAGACACCUUUGGUAAGUACAAAAAGUGAUUUUUUUUUUUACUAAAUUAGUCUUAAUUGGAUUUACCUGUUGCUGUUAUACCAAAACCUCAAAUAGAACCUGGUAAAGGUGUGUUUUCAUGGCUGUACUUGCAGUAGCUUUUUGCCCACCUCAAGAUCUGCCAUUGGGACACACAGACCAGCUGCAGCCACACAGCUCCUGCUGCAUAGAUCGCUGUCCUCCAUAUUGCUUUCCCCUCUGAACAUCCACACACGUACCUGUGACUGACAGAAACUAUUUGAAAGGUACAACACACUAUGGCUGGGACUCUUUGAAGAUCCCUCCAACAUUUGUUCCUAAGCAAACCCAAGAUGGGACUGUUCUCUAGACAAGACCACAUAUGUUCAGACAUCAAAAUCUUGUCUGCUUUCACCAUAACUGCCUGAGGUUAAUCACUUCCCACCUGUCAAUGAAUCCCAAGUGACUAUUUUUAUUUUUCAUUAAAUAGUUACUGAGGAAUGUAACAGCUGAGUGCUUGCCUUCAAUUGAAAGCCUGUGAGAAAAACUUUAAUGUUCUCUUUCCAAAAUACCAGGGUUUUGCUGUUUUGCACUCCACACCUUUAUAGAACAUCCACGUCACAGAAAUCAGCCACAGCACCUACCACCCUCCCCCCCACCGCUGUUGUGCUCCAGACCAGAGAGUGCUGUGCUGGGGCUGUCCUGGCAGUACCUCCAUCCCUGCCCCCUGCAGCUGCUUCAGAUUCAGCUCAUUAGGAAAAUCUGACUGCCUUUCCUAUUACAGAAUAGCAACUUGAAAGAUUUUAAAUAAAAUAUAUUCAUAGAAUCAUAGAAUUGUUCAGUUUGGAAAAGACCUUAAAAAUCAUCGAGUCCAACCACAACCUAACCAUACUACCCUAACUCUAAUAAUCCUCUGCUAAAUCAUGUCCCUGAGCACCACAUGCAAACAGUUUUUAAAUACAUCCAGGGAUGGUGGCUCAACCACCUCCCUGGGGAGCUUAUUCCAGUGCUUAACAACCCUUUCUGUAACUUAAACUUUCCCUGGUGCAACUUGAGGCCAUUUCCCCUCAUCCUGUCAGCUGUCACUAGAAGAGAAGACCAACCCCACUCUUGCUGUAAUUAUCCUUCAGAUAUUAUUAUUCAGAUUAUUAUUGUUCAUAAAUAUUCAUAUUCAUAUUUUUUAAUAUUCAAAUAAUAUUUUUUUAAAAAGUUGAAAUGCAAAUAAAUAUAUUGCCUGGUACUUCACUGUCUUAUUUAGUGUAGAUAUAGUUUAAAAAUAACCUCUAGAGUAGAUAUCAUAGAACUAGAGAAUCAUACAAUCAUCUAGGUUGGAAAAGACCUUCAAGAUCACCAAGUACAACCAUAAGCCUGACCUACUGGCUCCCGUCACUAAACCAUGUCCCUUAGUGUCAUGGCCACAUAUCUUCCAAUACCUCCAGGAGCAGGGACUUCAUCACCUCCCUGGGUAGCCCUGUCCGAUGACUGAUCUCUUUCUCUGUGAAGAGAUCCUUCC